rnacentral:lncRNA from 1 species
GGGGUACCCACGGUGGAGGGAGGUGGGAGGCCGAGACGGCCCCGGGGGUCGGCGGAGACCCAGCGGGAGCAGGGGGAAAUCGGAAGAGCUGGGGGCAUGGAGCGGGCGAGUUUGGAGCGGAAUGAGCCGGGAGCCCUACGUUGUGGAAGGAAGACAACAGUAUAGGACCAUCAGCAGGACCGGACAGAGAGGGGCACCCCUGGCUGUCCUGGAACUUGUAGACCAGGCUGGCCUUGAACUCAGAAAUCCGCCUGCCUCUGACUCCCGAGUGCUGAGAUUAAAGGUGUGCACCACCACACCCGACAAGGAAGCCUGUUUUAAGAAGUGAUUCCAUGGAGGAGUUCUGCGGCGGCUCAGGGCUUGACUAAACAGUGGACCUCAGUAGACAAGAGAGGCUAAACCAGGCUGCAGGUGACAGGAAGAAUUGAAUAAACUGAAAGCAAAGGGCAGCCUUCUAAUUACGCUUCGUGGCUAUGUGGACAACCUGGAGAAGUCUGGAAACAAGCCAGAAGCCCGAAGCCAGCAGUAGAGCUCUGACUGGCUUGUAUGCCUAGAAAGGAAGGGCUCUUCUUUCGCCUCACGGGCACAAAUGGGACCCACGAGCGCCGAUUUCAGACUAUUCUGAUCCCUUCAAAAAGAAAGUUAGGAGUCCAGGCUACUGUGAGUGAAUUUGAUUCUAAUUGUUUCAGAGAAUAUGGAAUAAAAUAUCUCAUUUGCAGUUGUUUA